UUAUGUGAUCGUCUCUCGCAUAUCAAUAAGCGGAGGAAAAGAAACUAACAAGGAUUCCCCUAGUAACGGCGAGUGAAGCGGGAAGAGCUCAAAUUUGAAAUCUUAAAGGGUUUCCCUUUACGAAUCGUAGUUUAAAGAAGUGUUUUCUGUUGAGGUUUUGGUAAAAGUUCUUUGGAAUAGGACAUCAUAGAGGGUGAGAAUCCCGUAUUUGACCUUUACUUUCAACUUUGUGAUACACUUUCAAAGAGUCGGAUUGUUUGGGAAUGCAGUCCAAAAUGGGUGGUAAAUUUCAUCUAAAGCUAAAUAUUGGCGAGAGACCGAUAGCGAACAAGUACCGUGAGGGAAAGAUGAAAAGAACUUUGAAAAGAGAGUUAAACAGUACGUGAAAUUGUCAGAAGGGAAGCGUUUGACACCAGUGUUGUUUUUCUGAAAAUCAACUAAAGAACUGUUUAUGCUAAGCUGUUUAGACUUUAUCAGCUAAUCUGUUUAGUUUUGAGCUUUUCUUUAAUGCACUUUUCAGUUAACAAGUCAACAUCAAUUUCUUUUGCUGUAAAAAAGCUUGAGGAAGGUGGCUUGAGAUUCGUCUUAAGUGUUUAUAGCCUCUUGCCUAUGCAGUCGGAGAGAUUGAGGUCUGCAGCGUAGAUCCUUCGGGGCUAAAUGCAUUUGUGCUAAGUUAUAGCAUUUUAUAGACAACUUGUUGACUAUGAUUUGUCUUGUAGCUUACUCGCUUAUGUUAUUUUACCUACGCUUAGGAUGUUGAUAUGCAUGACUGAUAU
rnacentral:rRNA from 1 species